AGUGAAGCGGCAACAGCUCAAAUUUGAAAUCUGGCCGCAAGGUCCGAGUUGUAAUUUGUAGAGGAUGCUUUUGGCGAGGUGACUUCCGAGUUCCCUGGAACGGGACGCCAUAGAGGGUGAGAGCCCCGUACGGUCGUGCCACCGAGCCUCUGUAAAGCUCCUUCGACGAGUCGAGUAGUUUGGGAAUGCUGCUCUAAAUGGGAGGUGUACGUCUUCUAAAGCUAAAUACCGGCCAGAGACCGAUAGCGCACAAGUAGAGUGAUCGAAAGAUGAAAAGCACUUUGAAAAGAGGGUUAAAAAGUACGUGAAAUUGUUGAAAGGGAAGCAUUCAUGACCAGACUUGGGCUUGGUUGAACAUCCGGCGUUCUCGCCGGUGCACUCUGCCAGCUCAGGCCAGCAUCAGUUUGCCCCGGGGGACAAAGGCGGCGGGAAUGUGGCUCCCUACGGGGAGUGUUAUAGCCCGUCGUGUAAUGCCCUGGGGUGGACUGAGGUUCGCGCUUCGGCACGGCU
rnacentral:sRNA from 1 species